rnacentral:rRNA from 1 species
CGGCGGACGGGUGAGUAACACGUGGGUAACCUACCUAUAAGACUGGGACAACCUCGGGAAACCGGAGCUAAUACCGGAUAAGAUAUCGAACCGCAUGGUUCGAUAGUGAAAGAUGGUUUUGCUAUCACUUAUAGAUGGACCCGCGCCGUAUUAGCUAGUUGGUGAGGUAACGGCUCACCAAGGCAACGAUACGUAGCCGACCUGAGAGGGUGAUCGGCCACACUGGAACUGAGACACGGUCCAGACUCCUACGGGAGGCAGCAGAG